CUGAAAACCUACAGGACAGUAGAUCUCCAGGAAGAGGGUUGGGCAGCCCUGUGUUAGAGGGAACACUCGCAGCACCACUAACCUUGACUGAGGGGAAUGGGGGAGCAAAGAAUGAUGCAAACUAUACCACACCCCUGGUUAUCCCUCCUCUGGGUAUUGAGCUGAGGACUAAUGGCUACGUUCAGGUUUUAGCUGCCAACCUGACUUCCUAAUACCAUGUGCUUCUGGAC